rnacentral:rRNA from 1 species
GUGGACGCCAGUCUGCGUGGAGCCGACCUUGAAAUACCACCCUUUAAUGUUUGAUGUUCUAACGUGGACCCGUGAUCCGGGUUGCGGACAGUGUCUGGUGGGUAGUUUGACUGGGGCGGUCUCCUCCUAAAGAGUAACGGAGGAGCACGAAGGUUGGCUAAUCCUGGUCGGACAUCAGGAGGUUAGUGCAAUGGCAUAAGCCAGCUUGACUGCGAGCGUGACGGCGCGAGCAGGUGCGAAAGCAGGUCAUAGUGAUCCGGUGGUUCUGAAUGGAAGGGCCAUCGCUCAACGGAUAAAAGGUACUCCGGGGAUAACAGGCUGAUACCGCCCAAGAGUUCAUAUCGACGGCGGUGUUUGGCACCUCGAUGUCGGCUCAUCACAUCCUGGGGCUGAAGUAGGUCCCAAGGGUAUGGCUGUUCGCCAUUUAAAGUGGUACGCGAGCUGGGUUUAGAACGUCGUGAGACAGUUCGGUCCCUAUCUGCCGUGGGCGCUGGAGAACUGAGGGGGGCUGCUCCUAGUACGAGAGGACCGGAGUGGACGCAUCACUGGUGUUCGGGUUGUCAUGCCAAUGGCACUGCCCGGUAGCUAAAUGCGGAAGAGAUAAGUGCUGAAAGCAUCUAAGCACGAAACUUGCCCCGAGAUGAGUUCUCCCUGAGACUUAGAGUCUCCUGAAGGAACGUUGAAGACGAC